UACGUAGGGGGCAAGCGUUGUCCGGAAUCAUUGGGCGUAAAGAGCGUGUAGGCGGUCCGGUCAGUCGGUUGUGAAAGUCAAGGGCUCAACCCUUGAAUGCCAGCCGAAACUGCCGGGCUAGAGUCCGGAAGAGGAGAGUGGAAUUCCUGGUGUAGCGGUGAAAUGCGCAGAUAUCAGGAAGAACACCAAUGGCGAAGGCAGCUCUCUGGGACGGUACUGACGCUGAGACGCGAAAGCGUGGGGAGCGAACAGG
rnacentral:rRNA from 1 species